ACACUCCCGAAAUUCUUCGAGUAGUUUGCUAGAAGCGGUGUAUUUGUCGUGCGGGCUACUCCGAAAGCGGGAAAAAUGCUGUGCUGUGUGCUGCUAUCCUCACACUACUGAGUUGGACUGCUGAUAUAUCUGUGAAGUGUCUGCAAGUGGAUCGAGCUGCUGUUGCUGACCUGUGAACUGAUUUCUUGACAAUGCAGAUGGGAUUUGCACCAAAGAACCAUUUCUAAACAGGUUUGACUUUCUAAUGUUGCAUCAUAUUCUGUCAACCUACAUUGUAUGCAAUUACUAAAAUUGCAGGGAAAGGAUGUUCUAGAAACUUGGAAAUGAGGAGAAGAUGAGCCAUUACUCUUAUUCACUUAGAGAUGUUAUAGCAUUUAAUACGUUUUUAAUAACAAAAGGCUUCCGUGACUGUGAGACAUGUCAGCUCCUGGCAGCACCCCCAUAUGACUUCAGACAAGAUGAUGGGCAUCAAAGAACCUCCACAUAGAGUUUGAUUCAAAUGUGGCAAAGCUAGGCACUGGGCAAAAAAA
rnacentral:lncRNA from 1 species